rnacentral:rRNA from 1 species
CCUACGGGAGGCUGCAGUGGGGAAUAUUGGACAAUGGGGGGAACCCUGAUCCAGCCAUGCCGCGUGUGUGAAGAAGGCCCUCGGGUUGUAAAGCACUUUCUGUGAGGAAGAACGCCUGGUGGUUAAUACCCAUCAGGAAAGACAUCACUCACAGAAGAAGCACCGGCUAACUCCGUGCCAGCAGCCGCGGUAAUACGGAGGGUGCGAGCGUUAAUCGGAAUUACUGGGCGUAAAGCGCGCGUAGGUGGCUUGAUAAGCCGGUUGUGAAAGCCCCGGGCUCAACCUGGGAACGGCAUCCGGAACUGUCAAGCUAGAGUGCAGGAGAGGAAGGUAGAAUUCCCGGUGUAGCGGUGAAAUGCGUAGAGAUCGGGAGGAAUACCAGUGGCGAAGGCGGCCUUCUGGACUGACACUGACACUGAGGUGCGAAAGCGUGGGUAGCAAACAGGAUUAGAUACCCGAGUAGUC